UGUGCCCCAGGAAAGGCAGAAGCCCUAAGCUUCUCCAACUGAACAGAGGGAACUUCCUCCUGUCAUCGUUGGGAGACUGAGCUUGAUGACCUUGAUGAACCUGACAGCAGCAAUCUGCUCCAUGAGAUGCUGGUUACUCAAUUACACUUGAGAUUUGGCUCUUGUUCAGCUAGUGAAAUAAUUUGAGAACCUGGACCUGAAAUAAUCAUUUAUGAUGGCAGCACAGGCAGGAAAUUUAUGAGGUUGACCUCCUUCCUGUGGCAGCUUCUAAAGAUCAGAAGGAAAGAACCACACUGCAAUAAUCCUGUCUAUAUACACCAUACUCCUCAAGCAGAGCUUGAAACAGAAGUGACCUUAUGUGGCUACCAAAACUCCCUGCUACUAACUGAAAUGAUGAAGUAGGACAGGACAGAAAAGACUGAGUGGCCAUUGGCAAUUUAUACAAUAAAAAGACCUUGGGGAACACCUAUAAAGAGUAAUUUGCUCAAAAUCAAUUUAAGGAAUGAGAUCUUCCUUAGGGUUGCUGAAAGGUUAGAGCUGGGCACUGAUACUUCCACCCAAAGGGAGGGACAGCUAAUCAGCAAAAUGAUUGAUUAGUUUAUCUCUUUCAUAAGCCUCACAGUAAACAAGGUCUGUUCGUUUUGUCGCAAUCUGUUGCAGUGACAUAACACUAAAUAACAACAUGUGAUGCAUCAUUUCAGUCGCUAUUUUGAAGCUGAGUUGUAUAAGAACAUCCCAAAGAAUACUUAAAACCAGAAAUUAACUUACAGAAUACAACAUGGGGAAAAAAGGGGGAAAGGAGUUUUCCUGAUAACUGGAAAUAUUUAGCAGUUUUACCCACAGA